CUAAAUCUUACUGAAAUACAGAGAGACGAGGAGUUGCUUUACUAACAUGUCAUCAAUAUAAAAUCAGAAACUCAUAAAUUCAAAAAGGACUGAAAUAACAGAUUAGAUCAAUUUAAGAAAGGAGCCCCAACUAAACAAAAUAAUGGAGGAGCUACUGGAGGAGUUUAUUCACACUCACUGCAGAGUUUCUCUACAGAACAACAGCUGCAUUCAAUAUUUCAAGAGUGUCAGGACCUGAUCAUUGUAAUAUUUCUGCUGUGUAACUGUUAGGAGAUCUGCUGAAAAAAAUGUUUAUUUUCUACUUUUUGUUCUCAUGGAGUCUGGCUGGUGUGUUUGGAGUUGAUUCAGUGAAGUCCGUGUCAGUG